UACGUAGGGGGCAAGCGUUGUCCGGAUUUAUUGGGCGUAAAGAGCGUGUAGGCGGCUUUACAGGUCCGUUGUGAAAACUCGAGGCUCAACCUCGAGACGCCGGUGGAAACCGUAAGGCUAGAGUCCGGAAGAGGAGAGUGGAAUUCCUGGUGUAGCGGUGAAAUGCGCAGAUAUCAGGAGGAACACCGGUGGCGAAGGCGGAUCUCUGGGCCUUGCCUGACGCUGAGGCGCGAAAGCUAGGGGAGCGAACAGG
rnacentral:rRNA from 1 species